rfam:Bombyx mori DNA, contig: Bm_scaf13_contig10188, strain: p50T/Dazao, build 2, whole genome shotgun sequence.
UUAAUUCGAAUUUGUAUGUAGUUGGAAAGUUUACCUACGUUUGCCGCUAGGGGCGCUGUUUCAACUGCAUACAAAUUUGAGUUA